rnacentral:rRNA from 1 species
GGUGAAGUGUUCGGAUCGCGGCGACUGGGGCGGUUCGCUGCCCCCGACGUCGCGAGAAGUCCAUUGAACCUUAUCAUUUAGAGGAAGGAGAAGUCGUAACAAGGUUUCCGUAGGUGAACCUGCGGAAGGAUCAUU